AAGGGGAAACAUAAUUUUCCAUUGAAGUGAAAUAAGAAGGAAAAGAAUAAACUGAGUGCGAUUACAUCAUGUCUACUUAUGAAACAGGGAUAACAAGAAUUUUUUUUCUCAAACACAGGAAAUACCAUCUAGGAAAGUUACCUAAUUGCCACGACUUGUCAGUCACACGAGAUAAUCACAAGGCAGAAAGGAGAAAAUGAAACAAACGGAUCGCUCAUUGCCUCGACAAAGAGGCCUUGCUGCAGCUGCCAGUAAACUAGGAUCCCCGGACCAUGAAUGCUGUUUCGCUGAAGCAAGACGCAACAAUAAUAAAGCCUGGCAACUUCAUCGUUCUUCUUCUUCGUCGUCUACUGAUGAUUAGAUCACAAAAUGGAGCACGCCCCCCUUUGCGCCUUUUUCUUCUUCUUCGCCUUGGGUGGCUGCAGCACCACCUUUAUUGCCGCAUCGAAAACGCCCUUGACUACUAGUUGGGUCUUUGAGCUGCAUUCGAUGUAGUAUGGGGCGCCUAUUUGCUUUCUUAGUUCCUCUCCCUACAAAAUGGUGAUAGGAACAGCACCAGGAUGGUCCACAAAAAACUGCUUGUCAUCUCGAAGAUCUGCCACUUUGUUCCCACAAGGAUGAUAGGCACACCAGGUGCAUAAUGCUUCAGCUCAGUCCCUUGCCUUCUUUGAAACAUUCUCAUAGCUGGCCUUGCUGAUUAGCGAGAAGGCCAGAAGGAAAACAUCAGCUCCACGAUAACUCAGUGGUCUCAGUCUGUUGUAAUCCUCCUGACCUGUGUGUCCCAUAGCCCGAGGUUGACGGUGUUACCAUCAACCA
rnacentral:sRNA from 1 species